AAAGAUAUAGAACUUUACAGAAUUGAUUAUCGUAGUCUUUGAGCGCCAUCUAGCGACGAAAUGUACAAAUAAAUUUGAACAAGACAUCCCUGAUAAUAGGCAACAAAUUUACACGUCAAUCAUGAGCGCAAUAAUCAGUCAAUUUUUGAAGAGCAACAAGCUAAACUACAAAAGAUCCAGGAGCUUACGAAUAUGUUAAAGGAUACUAAUGAAAACUUAACAAUAUGCGAGGAAAUACUGACAACUUACUUGAGGAAACGAUUGAAGAUUACCAUUUUUUGUACCAUCCACCAUGACCAUACCAACCUCCAUAACCACCGUACCACCAAGGCCAGCCAGGGUACCAACCACCAUACCAUCCACCACCCCACCCACCAUACCUAAAAAAUAGAAAUAUUAAAAAAAAGAAAUUAUAGAUUUGUUAUUCUAAUCGAGAAAGAAAUUCUCACCAAGGCCAACCGUAACCACCAUAACCACCGUAACCACCAUAACCACCUCCGUAUCCCCAAGGACCCCAACCAAAACUUCUCUUC